UUAUUGGAGAGUUUGAUCCUGGCUCAGGAUGAACGCUGGCGGCGUGCCUAAUACAUGCAAGUCGAGCGAAUGGAUUGAGAGCUUGCUCUCAAGAAGUUAGCGGCGGACGGGUGAGUAACACGUGGGUAACCUGCCCAUAAGACUGGGAUAACUCCGGGAAACCGGGGCUAAUACCGGAUAAUAUUUUGAACUGCAUAGUUCGAAAUUGAAAGGCGGCUUCGGCUGUCACUUAUGGAUGGACCCGCGUCGCAUUAGCUAGUUGGUGAGGUAACGGCUCACCAAGGCAACGAUGCGUAGCCGACCUGAGAGGGUGAUCGGCCACACUGGGACUGAGACACGGCCCAGACUCCUACGGGAGGCAGCAGUAGGGAAUCUUC
rnacentral:rRNA from 1 species